UACGAAGGGUGCAAGCGUUACUCGGAAUUACUGGGCGUAAAGCGUGCGUAGGUGGUUUGUUAAGUCUGUUGUGAAAGCCCCGGGCUCAACCUGGGAAUGGCAAUGGAUACUGGCAAGCUAGAGUGCGGUAGAGGGUAGUGGAAUUCCCGGUGUAGCGGUGAAAUGCGUAGAGAUCGGGAGGAACACCGGUGGCGAAGGCGGCGACCUGGGUAGAUACUGACGCUGAGGUGCGAAAGCGUGGGGAGCAAACAGG
rnacentral:rRNA from 1 species